GAUGAACGCUGGCGGCGUGCUUAACACAUGCAAGUCGAGCGGAAAGACCCUGCUUUUGUGGGUUGCUCGUGUGGCGAAGGCGUGAGUAACACAUGAGUAACCCGCCCUUGACUUUGUGAUAACUUCAGGAAACUGGGGCUAAUACCGGGUAGGAUCUCCUGCUGCGUGGUGGUGGUUGGAAAGUUUCGGCUGUUGUGGAUGGACUGGCGGCUUAUCCGCUUGUUUGUCGGGUAGGUGCUUACGAAGGGUUUGACGGGUAGGCGGCCUGAGAGGGUGAACGGGCACAUUGGUACUGCGGUACGGCGCAGACGGCUACGGGAGGCAGCAGGCGGGAACAUGGCAGAGCGGGCGGACGUCUGAGGCAGAAACGCCGCGUGCGUGAUGCCGGGUUUCGAGUUGUAAACCGCUGUCGAAGGUGCUGUAGCCGGAGUGACGGUAAUGGGUAAAGAAGCACCGGCUAACUACGUG
rnacentral:rRNA from 1 species